rnacentral:lncRNA from 1 species
AGCAGAGUAUAAUCCAGAGAUGGACGUGUAGGUAAUGGCGGAAUUGGUGCCAUUGCUGAAAGAUGAAGUAAAAAUCUUAAGUAAGAAGAAGAAGAAAAUGGGCCAAGCCAAAAAGUAGGGAUGAAGAAGGAUGUGAAGAAGAAGAAGAAAAGCAAAAGAAGAUGAAGAAGACAAAAGAUCUGAUAAUAAAAGGGAAUGAGAAGCUUGGCGAAGAAGAAAAGUUGGCCGUCGCGUCGAAUCGUCGCAUCGAAGCGAGUCCCGAGGUCGGCUAUAAUGAUGAAUAGACGGCGGCAAUUAAGAUGACCUAAUUAAUGCCGCAUGUAAGACAAAAAUAGAUGGCGAGAUCGUGGCUGUAGAAAAGAAUUGAACGGCCGAAAGUAACCCGUACAGAGGGUUUUGAAAUUGAGGAUCGCACUUCGAUUACGUUAGAGAAUUUGAAAUUAAUUGGAUCGAGAAACAAGCCUCGGAUUGCGUUUGUUAUUGAAGCGAUGGCGGGAUUUUAGCAAUAGAAAGAAGUGGACGGUUGAGACGAAACCGUACCAGGAAUUUGAAAAGCAAU